rnacentral:rRNA from 1 species
UAAGGAAUAUUGGUCAAUGGACGCAAGUCUGAACCAGCCAUGCCGCGUGAAGGAUGAAGGUCCUCUGGAUUGUAAACUUCUUUUAUCUGGGACGAAAACGGGAUUUUUAUCUCAAUUGACGGUACCAGAGGAAUAAGCACCGGCUAACUCCGUGCCAGCAGCCGCGGUAAUACGGAGGGUGCGAGCGUUAUCCGGAUUUACUGGGUUUAACGGGUGCGUAGGUGGGCUUAUAAGUCAGUGGUGAAAUCUCCGAGCUUAACUUGGAAACUGCCGUUGAUACUAUAAGUCUUGAAUUAUCUGGAGGUAAGCGGAAUAUGUCAUGUAGCGGUGAAAUGCUUAGAUAUGACAUAGAACACCAAUUGCGAAGGCAGCUUACUACAUAUAAAUUGACGCUGAGGCACGAAAGCGUGGGGA